UUUUCGUUUGGAGAAAAUGUAAAAAAGGGCAAAAUUGUCAUUUUACAAUAAAAGGUGUAUAUAAGACAAAUUGUAUGAUUUUUCUACAAGUUUCUACUACUUUCCUACUGAAAAAAAAAAAUCUGAAAUUAUCUUCCCCUUCCUCUCUAUACCAUCGCCCCUCCUCUCUUGCUCACCAAUCCAUCAAAAAAAAUUUCAUUCUUUCAAGUGAUUCUUCAUGUUUUGCUAAUUUCUUGAGCAUAGAACAAAGGGAACUAUUAGAGGGUUUAUUCCUUCAAUCUUUUCUCACGUGAGAAGUUGUUCAUAUGCACUCUAACAAGGAUCUAAGAGGUUAAGAACGGAAUUGGUGAUAUUGCAAAGAGAAUUGAAGUUUGGAGCUAUAAUUUGAACAUAAGAGGCAAGUUUGAGCAUGUUGGAGCAAGACACAAAAUCUAGGGUUUGGGCUUUUGAUCUGAAGCUUGAAACGAAGCAUGAGCUGCCAAGAAGUGGAAGCUAUGAGCUGAAGCAUAAAAAGGGAUUAAAGUUCCAAAAUAGAUUAUUUAUGGGACUGAAAUGAGAAUUUUGUAUAUGCUGGUUGAUAAAGUAGGAGUAUGCCGCAAGUGGGUUGGACUGUUUUAGAAAAGGAAAGACCUAUAAGCUAAGGCAGAAGCUAUUUUGGAAAAGUGAUUAUGGAGUUUUAGAGAUAGAAGAAGCUGCAAAUUGUGGAUAAGUUGCUUUCAAUCUCCAGGAAUGAUUCACGAUAUUCAGGUUGCUAGAUGACAGAAUGGUUCGUGGUGAAGAGGCAGAAGUUGUCGGAUCAUAGGAAGUUCACGUCAAUGGUAUUAUUUCAGAGGUAUAAGACGAGCAUUUCCAUAUUUCAUUAAGAGGAAAUUUUUAUUAUUGAAAUUUUAAUGUAUCCAAUGCCAAGUUUAACACACAUGCUAGAUAUCCUAGGUAAUGUCUAGUAGGGGUGUUUCAAUUUGGUAUCAGAGCAGGUCGAUUCAGAUCGUGCCUGGGUCAUUAGAAUUCAAUAAAAUGCAGUGGGACCAUUGAGUUCCGGAUAUUUAUUCUAAAUGUCAUGUCUAGCUGAGCCUGAUCAACUCAGACUAGUAUAUGAUAGUUAGAACAAGUGUCUGAGAGCUGAAUAGGGCCUAGGAGGAAUGAAGCGUCCGAAGAAGAAACAUCAUGGUGUUAUGUUUUGUGAUGAAUCUUGUUAAGGAAGUAUUUGACUCCAAUUGUGGCUGGUAACUGCGAAGCUUAAGAUUCUUCGAGUAUAUAAGGGAAAUGUUGUGGGUAAGACGGAUUACUUUAAUGUCAUUGAACAACACUUCAUAUGUGGAUACAAGAGAAGUAAGAUAUUCAGGACGAUUAAGGGAUGAUUAUAACCUUAACAAGAGCAGUAGUAUAAGAAGCAUAAGCUAGGUAUAAAGAAAAGAAAUAUUUCUGAAGGCGUAAAUAAGGAUGCGGGAUCAGGAGAGGAACUUGACGUGAGGGAAUUAUUAGACGGUUAACAGAAUUUAUAAGUGCUCAGGAGAAGUAGAAGAUGUAAGAAACACUCAAGAUUUUAAUGUCUGAGUUGUUAAGUGAAUUAAUUGGAAAAUUAAGUAAAUUAUUUUAGAACAGACGAAAAUAACCCCUUUACGGAGUGGACAACGCAAACUAGAUAAACUAUGUCAGAUUAGCCACAUUCCCCGAAUCUUAAGUGCCAGAUUUAUGAAUCACGAAGUGAAGGUGCUAUGCGGCGUAAGAGUCAAGAAGGAUGAAUAAAGAGUAGUGCAAGGAUCUUUUAUGGGUCAAGUAAGAUUCAGAUGUAUUUUUAUUGACAAUAAUUAUAGAGAAGUUAAGAUAACGGGAGUUGUACACGAGAAAACUAAAUUAGACCCCGUAUCUAUCACAAGUUAUUAAGUUGUCUUCUGAACUAAGAAAUACAAGUUUAGCAGUAGGUGGAAAGAGAUCCCGGUAAUGGCAUGAGACAAGAUGUAAUUUUCGGUUGAAACGGAAAAUAAAGAUUUAAUAAUAAGUUAUCGGAGUUCAGUGAAUUAAUGGACGAGUAAUGUCAAAUUCUUUCAACAGAAUGUGUUACCGCAUGAAUAUAAUAAGUUGAUGUGUUAAUGAUUAAUCAAGAUUUUUGAAUUUGAAAAUCAUUUUUAAGGUUCUGUUAUAGGAAAGGAUGUCGCUAGUGCUAAUGAGUUAAGAACGAAGUAAAGUAUUAAGGAGUUAAACAUUUUCGUCCGAUGAUUUUUCUUAUGCAAGUGUCCUGAAAACCAAAAUAAUGAAUUUUUGGAGUUGAAGCUAUCUCAUAGGAGAUCGUAAGUGUAAUUGCCACUAUGACAAGACUGAAAAUAAGCCUCACGCUGUCAAGUACAUUUGAGUAUGUAAACAAACGAGAUUUUAAUGGUUAUGCAAAGUCAUGAUAAUGUGAAUGAAAUCUUGUAUGAUAUCAAUGUUAUGCGAAGUCAUAUGAAUUGGUUCUAACAAUAAAAUGCUAAGCAAGACAAUUGAUGUAUAUACUUAUAGAAAUUAUUUGAAAGAAAAAUUGAAACGAGUAACAUGCUCGUAGAAAGAAAGAAAAAAAAAUAACAAUAAAAUUGCGAAAAUAUCCGUUUGCUACAACGAAGAGAUAAUGUAGCCUAUGAGGUACGGCUCAUAGUAACAAAUGCAAAAAUUCCGUUUGCUACAACGAAGAGAUAAUGUAGCCUGAGGUACGGCUCAUAGUAAUUAAUGUGAAAACUCCGUUCGCUACAACGAAGAGAUAAUGUAGCUUAUGAGGUACGGCUCAUAGUAACAAAUCGAGAAAAACUCCGUUUGCUACAACGAAGAGAUAAUGUAGCCUAUGAGGUACGGCUCAUAGUAAUAAAUGUGAAAAUUUCGUUUGCUACAACGAAGAGAUAAUGUAGCCUAUGAGGUACGGCUCAUAGUAACAAAUUCAAAAAUUCUGUUUGCUACAACCAAGAGAUAAUGUAGCCUAUGAGGUACGGCUCAUAGUAAUUAAUGUGAAAACUCCGUUUGCUACAACGAAGAGAUAAUGUAACCUAUGAGGUACGGCUCAUAGUAACAAAUCGAGAAAAACUUCGUUUGCUACAACGAAGAGAUAAUGUAGCCUAUGAGUUACGGCUCAUAGUAAUUAAUGUGAAAACUCCGUUUGCUACAACGAAGAGAUAAUGUAGCCUAUGAGGUACGACUUAUAGUAACAAAUCGAGAAAAACUUCGUUUGCUACAACGAAGAGAUAAUGUAGCCUAUGAGAUACGGCUCAUAGUAAUAAAUGUGAAAAUUCCGUUUGUUACAACGAAGAGAUAAUGUAGCAUAUGAGGUACGGCUCAUAGUAAUUAAUGUGGUAUAUAUGCACACAUUGAAAUGUAUAAAAAAAAAUAAAAAUAAAAAAUUAAUGACAUGAACUUUAAGUAAGAGUUAUGAUUAUGAUUAUGAUUAUGUGUAAAAAUAAGAAUAUGACAUUAUGAUAGAAUCAUUAUAGUAUAAGGUAGUGAUCCUAGUUAUCCCUGAUCGCUCAGUUAUGUGUGAUAAAGACUGUAUAAACCCGAAAUGGGUUAAGUUUAGAAUAGAUGGCGAUCUUAGGUUCCCUGCAAUUGCCUACAACCUAGGAUAGGUGGAACUCACUGAGACAUCCUGUCUCACCCCAAUCCCUUUUAUUUAUUUCAGAUAUUCAGGUUGCUAGAUGACAGAAUGGGUUGUGGUGAAGAGGCAGAAGUUGUCGGAUCAUAGGAAGUUCACGUCAGUGGUAUUAUUUCAGACGUAUAAGUCGAGCAUUUCCAUAUUUCAUUAAGAGGAAAUUUUUAUUAUUGAAAUUUUAAUGUAUCCAAUGCCAAGUUUAACACACAUGCUAGAUAUCCUAGGUAAUGUCUAGUAGGGGUGUUUCACAAAUCCAUCCAUAGCUGUCUUCUAGUAGUGUAUUUGGUGGAGGCAUAUAUAGCAGCUGUGUAUAUAAUAGACCCAUUUGAAAUGUAAGAUAGAGCAAUGCAUUGUGCACUAUUGAAAAGAAUGUUGGUAUUAAUUUGAUUGCUCCACAAACACCAAAUUUUGUUGUUGUCAUUAACCACUGAGUUUUGAAGAUGGAGCCUAUGCCAAUACCAGGCAGGUAUCUGAUUGUAAGCAACAAUAGGUUCAGCCAGAAAAAGAAAUUAUGGUUUAUGAGACUUAACCAGUUGAAACAGAUGCACUUGGGUGUCAAGAUUCCCAAUGCCUCUAAUGUUCCAAUAUAUGUACUUCAUUGUGGAACACUAGUUUGAGUAAUUAUUUGACUGCCAACCAUUAAAACUUCAUGGGUUUCUUGCAACCAUUCCAUACUGUACUUAAUAAUUCUUCUGUUCAAGGGCACUCAUUGUUUUGAUCGGCCACACACAAUAAAAAUACACUAUUAAUGUCUAUGAAACAAUGUCCUCAAAUCAUACAAUAUAAUAAAGCAAAGUUAGUUCUUUGGCAAGUUAGACAUUUGUCAUCUUCUAAGAGCAUCCUUCCUUGACACUCUUUCUAAAUUAUUGCUUAAUAAGGAAACUAUAAUAAUUUUUUAUUUUUUUUAGGCUGUAUUUCUUUAUUUAAUAUUUUUACAAUUUUUUUUUUUUUUGUAGAAACCAAAAAGUUUCCAUCUUUUUAAUUUCCAGCAGAUUGAAAAUUAACAAAACUUUCAAUUUCCUGCUUAGAAUACUACACCCCAUUUUGAUAAUAUCAAUCGGGUGACUUUCAAAGAAUGAAAAUGAACAAAAAUUUCAAUUUCCUAUGGAGAUAUAUAUUAGUGUAAAAAUCGCUAAUGACAAGUGCCAAGGUGCUGGAAAUUUCAAGGAGCUAAUAGAUAUGAAAGGAAGAAUUUUUUUUUUUUUUUUUUUUUAAGUAUCGUUGGUUGGAAAAACAAGAAUGUACCAGAUUUUUGGAUUUAGUGGAAGUGAUAGUUCUUCUGACCUUAAUGUUUUGUUGAUGCUAUUUCCACCAUCAUCUUUUUUGUUUUUGUAGAAACGUUUCGGUUCAACUUUUGUGUUGCUCAAUCCAAAUUGAUAGUCCUAUGAAUUUCCAGCUAUAAAUUGUUGUAUGUUUCUUCUCUCCAUAAUGGUAGAGAAAAUGAAUUUUGGGAUAGCCUAUGUAGGAGGAUUCUGGACUACUCUUCUGUCAUGGGUUAAUCUAUAACUAUAUCUUACACAUUGUUUCAGUUGAUGAUAUUAUGCAGACAGAUUUGUUGUCGCAUCAUAGUAAUACCAUUUUAAGCUGCUUUACCGGACCUUCAAUUAAGUGUGAUUGAAUUAUUAUUAUAUGAUGAUUAAUUAUAAUAUCCAUUUAAUUUUUUAUGCAAUUCAUAAAAUGCACUUUUUGUCAUUCAGGGUGCAUUCAUUUAUGACUUCCUAUGCUUCUUUUUUUUUUUUUUUCCUUUCAUUCUUCAAUCCAAUUCUCGAGGAUGCCAUAUUCCGCCCUUUACUUUUCAUGAAUGCAAAUUUUUGGUGCAAAAUUGGGAAAUCCAAGAGGAAUUUGCGCAAAGGGACACGAUUGAGAGAAGAAUGAAGAGGUUACAUUGAAGUAUGGUCGUGUUUCUUUGUUAGCUGUUUUACUGAGCAUCACUGUCAGACUUGAUGUUGCUUACUGUUUACAAUGGAGUAUAUGAAAGAAGAUUUUUUUUGAACAAGCCAAAAAGUAUAUGAAAGAAGAUGUUUCAUAUUUAUUUAUUUUUUUGAGGGGGAAAGAUGUUUCAUAUUGUUAAAUGCAAAUGAUUAUUAUUUAUUUAAUCAAAAGUGACCGUAAAAAUUGAUUUAGUUGAUUUCA